CGAGGUUUGGAGACAGCAGACUCCUGCAACUGGUCUCGCUCCUGUGGGGGAGCUGAGGCCUGGCCGGGCCUACGGGGCCUGUUGUUUCUGCCGAUCCAGGGUCCAGUAGCGUGGCCGUGGCCUUUGGGCGAUUGUGCUAUCUCAAGGAAAGUAUUAAACUCUGUUGGGUUGAGAAACUUGGCAUGAUGCACUGCAAAUAGUUACUGACAACACAAAGAUCCAACCAGACUGUAAGGAAAAACAUAAAAAAAACCAACAGACUUGAAUAUAACAUAAGAGUGUUUUUUGUCCCAGACAACAUAAAAUUAUAUGCCAUUUAUAGAUUAAAAAAAACCCAAAAACCUAAAAAAUGUCCUUUACAGCAGGGUCAAUUUCUAGCCUGCUGUGAGUUAAAUUAAAUCACUGUCUCUGGUUAACUCAAUAAUUAUCAGGACUCAGUUCACAAACCUUGACAACACAUGCUGUUGCAUCAGUUAUGGUAACAGCAUAUGAAGCUGAGACCCCCUAGAAAAUGCGAGAAUUGUAUGAAACAUCUUGUUUACACUUUACUCCAAGCGUUCAGCAUUCAGAAUGAAAGUACUUCCUGAGUGGAGUCCCUCAAGGGUUGGUAGAGGGACCAAAUCUAUUUAAUAUCUUCAUCAGUUACACAAACAGUAGGAUUGAGUACAACCGCAGCAAGUUUGGAUGUGAUACCUGAUACACUUGAAAGAAGGACCCACAAGAACAUCAUGAAGUUCAACAAGUCCAAGUAUGAGGCCUUGCACCUGUGACAGGGUGAUCUUCAACAUUAAUAUAGUCUGGGAGAUGAAGAGAUUGAGAGCAGCCCUUUGGAGAACGGAUGAAAAAUUGGACGUGAGGCAACAAUGUGAACUCACAGCCCAGAAAACCAAUUGUAUCCUGGGCUGCAUCAAAAGAAACGUGUCCAGUAGGUCAAGGGAGAUAGUUGUCCCUCUCUACUUUGCUUUCAUGAGACCCGACUUGGAGUGCUGCAUCCAGCUCUGAGGUCCUUGGAACAAGAAAGACAUGGACCUGUCAGUGCAGAUCCAGAGGAGGGCUGCAAAAAUGUUCAAAGGGCUGGAACACUUUGCCUGUUAGGGAAUAUUGAGAGAAUUGGAGUUGUUUGGUGUAGAGAAGAGAGGCUCUGGGGAGACUUAUAGCACCUUCCAGUACCUAAAGGAGGUUUAUAAGAUAGAUGGAGAAAGAGCUUUGACCAAAGUUGGCAGGACAAGUGACGGGAGAAGGGUUUUUGCUACAAGACUGAGUUCUUAAAACAAACAAAAAAUAAAAGUAAUGCAAGCCUAUUAACUGUCGUGAGAACUCUUUCCUUAAAAAAAAGAGUGAAUUUACGACCCUUUUGUGAUCUUAGGAAACUCAUUUGAAUUCUGUGGAUGAAAUCUUGGCCUUAUUCAUUGAGGUCAAAUUACUGUUGAGUUUAGGAUUCUUUUUCAGCAACCAACUUCAUCUGCAUGCUGGAGAUAAAAUUAAUUCUGCACAUUAUUAAUUUAUUCAAUUUAUGAAAGCCAGUAGUAACUGUUCACACCAGGUAUAGCAUGCAAUUGCAAAAAUUAACAUUGCAAAUUAUGUGUCAGUG